AACUUCCUGGGUCAUGCUUAUCAAUUAGGAAAAUUCAUGAACUGAAUGGAAAUAGAACGCACGCCAACUCCCAACUCCAUAGAGACUGAAUACCUCAGGUCAGGUGUGUGAUCUGGCCAGAAGACUUGUUAAAGGCCAUCUGAGAUGUUCUCCAUAUUGACAACAACACAAUAAACUCACAAUAAUAUUCUCUAUGUUCAUAAUAAUGUCAGAAUGAUAAAUUGUGGGUCUCAAAUUGUGGCUUCAUCAAUGACAGGAACAUUCAAUUACGGCACAAAGCUGUUUCACACACAUCAUGUCCUCCAUUGCUACAGUACAGAACUGUCUUGGCUGCCUCCUUUCUUCAGAAGGAAUCCAAUUUCCUUCCUCUAUCAGAGAAGUCUCUCUAAGCUAUAACAACCCACUGAGUCACCCAGUGGAUGGAAGCACAACACUUAGAGCCAUCCGCAUGUGUCUCACACACGUCUCACACGUCUCACACACAGACACAUCUCACACGUCUCACACACAGACAAGUCUCACACGUCUCACACACAGACACGUCUCACACGUCUCACACACAGACACAUCUCACACGUCUCACACACAGACACAUCUCACACACAGACACACACGUCUCACACACAGACACGUCUCACACACACACACGUCUCACACACACACACACGUCUCACACACACACAUGUCUCACACACAGACACGUCUCACACACACACGUCUCACACACACACACGUCUCACACACACACACGUCUCGCACACAGUCAGUCACGUCUCACACACAGACACACACGUCUCACACACAGACACAUCUCAAACACACGUCUCAAACACAGACACGUCUCACACACAGACACAUCUCACACACAGACACGUCUCACACACAGACACGUCUCACACACACACACACACACACACACACGUCUCACAGUCAGUCACGUCUCACACACAGUCAGUCACGUCUCACACACAGACACAGACGUCUCACACACAGACACGUCUCACACACAGACACGUCUCACACACAGACACGUCUUACACACAGACACGUCUCACACACAGACACACACACACACACACACACACACACACACACACACACACACACACACACACACACACACACACACACGUCUCACACACAGACACACGUCUCACACACAGACACACACGUCUCACACACAGACACACACGUCUCACACACAGACGCACACCACACACACAGACACGUCUCACACACACAGACACGUCUCACACACAGACUAGUCACACACACAGACCAGUCACACACACAGACCAGUCACACACACAC
rnacentral:lncRNA from 8 species